AUGACGAUACGUAGAGCAUACUUGGAAACUGGAAAUGGUUAGGGAGGCAAGCCAUGGCUUCAGGCAAUAUAAUGACUCACCUGGUUUUUUCAACUGGUUCUUCUUCACUUUCUGGUCCUAAUAUCCUUUUUCCGCAUAAUUCUAUGAACAUCAUCUCCACUCAUUCUGAGAUGAUGGAAACAUAAAUGCAACUUGUCCUGCAAGACCCAUCAACACAACUUGGCUGCAAUUCAGAACCAUUCCAGCAGGACAAGGACUCUUCCACCAUUUUGUGGGAGGAAAGAAGUUGCCCCUUGUACUCUCCUAUAGAAUGGAGUUCUGGGGAGGAUGCCAGGACCUAUGACUGGAUAAAUAUUCUUCUGUGAUUAGAAGGUGGACCCAUCAAUCAUUCAGUUCCACUGUAUCUACUUUCUGCUCAUCCUGCUUUUUAUAGAUAAACUAAAACAACAUAGCUA